rnacentral:piRNA from 1 species
CAGCAUCAGUCAGUCAGAUCCACUA